AAAAAAAAAAAAAUAAUCAGUGACAUUUCUUUUAAAAACCAAGUUUUAUCUCGUAAGUGCUUGAAAAGAUAUGAGAUAUACAAGGCAGCAGUGAUGGGUGAAUGGAGGGACCAAGAUGACCCCUCUACAUCAGGUCACGCAUUUGGCCAAGCAGGCCUAUGCUGCUGACCCUGCGAGUAAACGGCGACUUGCCUCCUGGUGAACCGGAGGUCCCGAUGACCCUGGACAAGCACAGAGCUGUAGACGCCCUGUCAUUUGUCAAGUGUCAGUUCUCAUGCAGAUGGUCUUUUUUAUGCAUCCAGUCAAAUCCUUCACUGACGAACCUUGAUGUGGCGUGCUUGAGACCUGAAGAAGACUCUUGGCUGCUGACCGAAGGAGAGGACCUGCUGCCCUUCUUAAGAACCCGCUCAAGGUAGGCAGCCGGAGCCCACCCCUCA